UACGUAGGGUGCGAGCGUUGUCCGUAAUUAUUGGGCGUAAAGGGCUCGUAGGCGGUUUGUCGCGUCGGGAGUGAAAACCAGGUGCUUAACACCUGGCUUGCUUUCGAUACGGGCAGACUAGAGGUAUUCAGGGGAGAACGGAAUUCCUGGUGUAGCGGUGAAAUGCGCAGAUAUCAGGAGGAACACCGGUGGCGAAGGCGGUUCUCUGGGAAUGACCUGACGCUGAGGGGCGAAAGUGUGGGGAGCGAACAGG
rnacentral:rRNA from 1 species